rnacentral:lncRNA from 1 species
AUACGAGACAUCCUCACCCGCAACCAGGUGGUAGAGGUGCUCGUCGAGAUGCUGGACUGCGACUCCCGCGAGCUGGUCUACGUCUGCUGCGGCGUCCUCGUCAACGUCAUGAGCGACGCGUCGCGCCGCAACAUCUUCAUGCAGGAGAACGGCGUGCUCAGGUUGGUGGAAGUGCUGCAGUACUUUGGGUGCAGCGACCUGCAGCUGUGCAGCCUAGCGUG